CGCAUCCUUCGGGAUGAGCGGCGGACGGGUGAGUAACGCGUGGGAAUAUGCCCUUCUCUAAGGAAUAGCCUCGGGAAACUGAGAGUAAUACCUUAUACGCCCUUCGGGGGAAAGAUUUAUCGGAGAAGGAUUAGCCCGCGUUAGAUUAGGUAGUUGGUGGGGUAAUGGCCUACCAAGCCUACGAUCUAUAGCUGGUUUGAGAGGAUGAUCAGCCACACUGGGACUGAGACACGGCCCAGACUCCUACGGGAGGCAGCAGUAGGGAAUCUUAGACAAUGGGGGAAACCCUGAUCUAGCCAUGCCGCGUGUGUGAUGAAGGCCUUAGGGUCGUAAAGCACUUUCGCCAGAGAUGAUAAUGACAGUAUCUGGUAAAGAAACCCCGGCUAACUCCGUGCCAGCAGCCGCGGUAAUACGGAGGGGGUUAGCGUUGUUCGGAAUUACUGGGCGUAAAGCGCACGUAGGCGGAUUAGUAAGUUAGAGGUGAAAUCCCAGGGCUCAACCCUGGAACUGCCUUUAAUACUGCUAGUCUUGA
rnacentral:rRNA from 1 species